GAACUUUCUCAGGCGGGACUCAGAGAUAUCCAGUUAAAAGGUAGCUAGAGAAAUGCCAAGAUCGAGAAGAACUGAGCAAGCUGUUGCUGGCUCUGAAAAGCAGGGCUCAACAUGACAGACCAGACAUAGGCUCUAGGAGUUAAAGGCUGCCCCCAGCUCACAGCCAGCAAGGAAACAGGGACCUCAGAAUGACAACUAAAAAGCAGUGGAUCCUGCCAACAACUUAAAUCAGCUUGGAAGCUGAUUCUUCCCAGAGUCUCCUGGCAAGUACCCAGCUGGUUAACAUCUCAAUGACGACCUCGUGAAACCUGGAGCAGAGAAAUCAGCUGAGUCAAUCUGACCUCCCAGCUACAGAGCGUUCUGGAUGCUGUUAUGGUUAAGCUCAAGGUACCAGCAGACUUAGGAUCCAGUGCGGGCCUGCCUUCUUGUUGUAUCCUCACCUGGUCGAAGAGAUUCACCAUUGUGCUCUCCAGCUGGCUCUGAAGAAGCAAGCCACCACAUUGCUCACUGCUCGUGGAGAGGAACACACGUGGAGGAACUGUGCAUAGCCUCCAGGAGCUGAGUGUAGCUUCCAGGUGACAGUCAGGAAAAAUCUAGAGCUCUCAGUCCUACUACCGAGGAAAUUAUCUAGAACCGACCACACUCC
rnacentral:lncRNA from 10 species